ensembl:ncRNA F23B12.10 ncRNA
UCUAAAUCUGUCUACAUCUUACACAUACGUCUAUGCAUGAUUUCCAUACCUGCCACUGGAAUAAUUCUCGACAUAUGUGGUGUCGU